rnacentral:rRNA from 1 species
AUUGAACGCUGGCGGCAGGCCUAACACAUGCAAGUCGAACGGUAGCACAGAGCGCUUGCUCUCGGGUGACGAGUGGCGGACGGGUGAGUAACGUCUGGGAAACUGCCCGAUGGAGGGGGAUAACUACUGGAAACGGUAGCUAAUACCGCAUAACGUCGCAAGACCAAAGUGGGGGACCUUCGGGCCUCACACCAUCGGAUGUGCCCAGAUGGGAUUAGCUAGUAGGUGGGGUAAUGGCUCACCUAGGCGACGAUCCCUAGCUGGUCUGAGAGGCUGACCAGCCACACUGGAACUGAGACACGGUCCAGACUCCUACGGGAGGCAGCAGUGGGGAAUAUUGCACAAUGGGCGCAAGCCUGAUGCAGCCAUGCCGCGUGUAUGAAGAAGGCCUUCGGGUUGUAAAGUACUUUCAGCGGGGAGGAAGGCGGUGAAGUUAACAGCUUCACCGAUUGACGUUACCCGCAGAAGAAGCACCGGCUAACUCCGUGCCAGCCGCCGCCGUAA